rnacentral:rRNA from 1 species
AGGGAUUGCCCCAGUAACGGCGAGUGAAGCGGCAAGAGCUCAAAUUUGAAAGCUGGCUCCUUCGGGGUCCGCAUUGUAAUUUGUAGAGGAUGCUUCGGGAGCGGUCCCCAUCUAAGUGCCCUGGAACGGGACGUCAUAGAGGGUGAGAAUCCCGUAUGGGAUGGGGUGUCCGCGCCCGUGUGAAGCUCCUUCGACGAGUCGAGUUGUUUGGGAAUGCAGCUCUAAAUGGGUGGUAAAUUUCAUCUAAAGCUAAAUAUUGGCCGGAGACCGAUAGCGCACAAGUAGAGUGAUCGAAAGAUGAAAAGCACUUUGAAAAGAGAGUUAAAAAGCACGUGAAAUUGUUGAAAGGGAAGCGCUUGCGACCAGACUCGCUCGCGGGGUUCAGCCGGCAUUCGUGCCGGUGUACUUCCCCGCGGGCGGGCCAGCGUCGGUUUGGGCGGUCGGUCAAAGGCCCUCGGAAGGUAACGCCCCUACGGGCGUCUUAUAGCCGAGGGUGCAAUGCGACCUGCCUAGACCGAGGAACGCGCUUCGGCUCGGACGCUGGCAUAAUGGUCGUAAACGACCCGUCUUGAAACACGGACCAAGGAGUCUAACAUCUACGCGAGUGUUCGGGUGUCAAACCCCGUGCGCGAAGUGAAAGCGAACGGAGGUGGGAACCCUCACGGGUGCACCAUCGACCGAUCCUGAAGUCUUCGGAUGGAUUUGAGUAAGAGCGUAGCUGUUGGGACCCGAAAGAUGGUGAACUAUGCCUGAAUAGGGCGAAGCCAGAGGAAACUCUGGUGGAGGCUCGUAGCGGUUCUGACGUGCAAAUCGAUCGUCGAAUUUGGGUAUAGGGGCGAAAG